UACGGAGGAUGCAAGCGUUAUCCGGAUUUAUUGGGUUUAAAGGGUGCGCAGGUUGUUUGAUAAGUCAGUGGUGAAAGUCUGUCGCUUAACGGUAGGAUUGCCAUUGAUACUGAGAGUCUUGAGUUUGGAUGAGGUAGGCGGAAUGUGCAGUGUAGCGGUGAAAUGCAUAGAGAUUGCACAGAACACCGAUUGCGAAGGCAGCUUACUGGGAUGCAACUGACGCUGAGGCACGAAAGCGUGGGUAU
rnacentral:rRNA from 1 species